GACAGAGAUGCCAAGCGUUAGGCGGAAUCACUGGGCUUAAAGCGUGUGUAGGCGGAUCGUUAAGUACCUUGUGAAAUCCCACGGCUCAACCGUGGAACUGCUCGGUAUACUGGCGAUCUUGAGCUGUCUAGGGGCUACCGGAACAAAUGGUGGAGCGGUGAAAUGCGUAGAUAUCAUUUGGAACGCCAAUGGUGAAAACAGGUAGCUGGGGACAUGCUGACGCUGAGACACGAAAGCCAGGGGAGCAAACGGG
rnacentral:rRNA from 1 species